rnacentral:lncRNA from 1 species
CAUAAUUUUAGUGUUUUUUCUCGCAAACUGUGUGUUGACGAGUAAAAUUUUGACAUUUCUGACGUUCUUAACGUGAUUUUUUAACAAUUUUACCCGCAAAAAGUGCACUUAACAACAUGUUUUUCUGGUAUGCAGCAGACCAAUUUACGUGGAAAACACCUUUAUUACAUAGGUACUACGUAAAAGACGCACGUGGGUAGUGGGUACCACUACACCAACGUGACGUUGAUCGAGCAAAAAAAAUCAAUUUCAUCCGUCCCGAUGAGACAUAAUCUAGGUAUGUUACAAUCAUUCAGUCGUGUGCCUCAAUGGCUCCUAUACUUGCUCAAAAUAGGUGCUCAUAUAAUUUUUUCUACCGAUUUAGGAUGAUCUUGAAGUGGGUGUUUUUGUUGAUUUAUUGGAGCCAUGCAGCUGCAUCAGAAGAUCAAAGGAUUCAUUUGAUGAAUAUAUCAAUGAUCUGCCACAAUUUUACGAGCUCAACUGAUAUAACUAUUUGCUCUCAAGCAAAAGAGAUAUCCUCAAAAAUCCUGCAUGGUUUCCCUCUUGAACCCGUCAUACUUCUCAAGGACGAAUUCGACGCACGGAAAAUGCAUGGAAUAAUUAGAAGACUAUUUAACAGCCUGAUUGGAGCUCACUUCCAGGGUGAAUUCAAUUUGUCCUGCGAAGCGGAAUGCGUGCACGCGAACGGACACAAGGUGUGCUCUUGCCUCAACUCCAGCCUGGAUAAACACGAGGACACCUCUCUCGCCAAUCACGACUCAACUCCAGACAGUCCAAAAUCAGGAGUGUACUUGGUAUUUCUGGAGUCUCAAGGUGAUUCGAAUCGACCCUCCACCGGGGCAACUCUCGAGCCGAGAAAUUCCCCCCGAAGAAGACCCAAAUCGUCCUGCGGUUGCGGGUUCGGAAGCAUGUUCAGCGCUCUUUUCGGGAGCAGCAGAAGUCGGAGGAGACUUACUAACUCCCAACAGGGUCAGUUUGGAUCUCGUGGUAGCCGCUCUGCAGGGAGUCGGAGAAGCGAGAACAAUCCACCUCCACCUCGAGUUGGGUUACCCCCGCAACAGCGUCAGUGGGUAGGCACAGGUGGACACGGAGCUGAAUCUCCUAAUGCGGUUGUCGGUACUCAAUUUUCAACCCCUGGCGUAUCACCCUCAGCCUCACCCUAG